rnacentral:rRNA from 1 species
UACGUAGGGGGCAAGCGUUGUCCGGAUUUAUUGGGCGUAAAGAGCGUGUAGGCGGCCAGACAGGUCAGCUGUGAAAACUCGAGGCUCAACCUCGAGACGUCGGUUGAAACCGUAUGGCUAGAGUCCGGAAGAGGAGAGUGGAAUUCCCGGUGUAGCGGUGAAAUGCGCAGAUAUCGGGAAGAACACCUAUGGCGAAGGCAGCUCUCUGGGACGGUACUGACGCUGAGACGCGAAAGCGUGGGGAGCGAACAGG